rnacentral:rRNA from 1 species
GAUGAACGCUAGCGGCAGGCCUAACACAUGCAAGUCGAGGGGUAACAGGAGAGAGCUUGCUUUCUUGCUGACGACCGGCGCACGGGUGCGUAACGGGUAUACAAUCUACCUCAUACUGGGGAAUAGCCCGGAGAAAUUCGGAUUAAUGCCCCAUAAUAUAUUUGAUUCACAUGUUUUAAAUAUUAAAGAUUUAUCGGUAUGAGAUGAGUAUGCUUCCCAUUAGCUAGUUGGUAAGGUAAUGGCUUACCAAGGCUACGAUGGGUAGGGGCCUGAGAGGGUAGUCCCCCACACUGGUACUGAGACACGGACCAGACUCCUACGGGAGGCAGCAGUGAGGAAUAUUGGGCAAUGGAGGCAACUCUGACCCAGCCAUGCCGCGUGCAGGAAGAAUGCCUUAUGGGUUGUAAACUGCUUUUAUUUGGGAAGAAACCUUUCUACGUGUAGAAAGCUGACGGUACCAAACGAAUAAGGACCGGCUAACUCCGUGCCAGCAGCCGCGGUAA